rnacentral:lncRNA from 10 species
AGACUGUCAUCCUGAGGAGUGUAAUGAAGCAUACAAUCAAGUUGUUAGAGUUUGAAAAGGUUAAAGCAGCUUCAGGGAUCACUAUUUGUGCUUCUUGGGUACUGGAACGUCAUGCCAGUAAUAAGCGAUAUGCAAGCCAAAGACAAAGAAGCAAUUAGUUCUCUGCAUUGGUGAAAGGCUGCCCAGCUACAGAGUGGAUGGGGAAGGCCGUGAAUUCUUUUCCUUUGAGGCUGAACUGAGUCACAAAGACUCAAGCCAGUGGUUAUGGAGGUUCAUCUGUGAGUAUUUUCAGAUUGUCACAUCUACAAUCACAUCUCAGUUAAUUAAGAGGAGCGAGUUGCA